rnacentral:tRNA from 1 species
GCUUUUGUGGCGCAAUAGGUAGCGCAGCGGUUUUGUAAUCCGAAGGUUGCAGGUUCGAUUCCUGUCAGAAGCACCA